ACGGGAGGCAGCAGUGGGGAAUAUUGGACAAUGGGGGAAACCCUGAUCCAGCGACGCCGCGUGAGUGAAGAAGUAUUUCGGUAUGUAAAGCUCUAUCAGCAGGGAAGAAAAGAAUGACGGUACCUGACUAAGAAGCUCCGGCUAAAUACGUGCCAGCAGCCGCGGUAAUACGUAUGGAGCAAGCGUUAUCCGGAUUUACUGGGUGUAAAGGGAGCGUAGACGGCAAAGCAAGUCUGAAAUGAAAUCCCGGGGCUCAACCCCGGAACUGCUUUGGAAACUGUUUAGCUAGAGUGCGGGAGAGGUAAGCGGAAUUCCUAGUGUAGCGGUGAAAUGCGUAGAUAUUAGGAGGAACACCAGUGGCGAAGGCGGCUUACUGGACUGUAACUGACGUUGAGGCUCGAAAGCGUGGGGAGCAAACAGGAUUAGAUACCCUGGUA
rnacentral:rRNA from 1 species